AAGGAUUUCAAACCUAUAAAAGAAGGGACACAACAAGAAGGGAGAAAUUGAAUGAAAAGAAGCAGCCUAGCUAUUUGUAAGGAUACAUCCUCUAACACAAGGCAAGUUUUUUCAUUGGUCAUUCAAGCUAAAGGAGGUUAACCAGUUAUCAUAGAUGUUCAGAACCAGUGAGAACAUGUAAAUGGCAAAGCAAUUCAACUCACUUGGCAAAUCUGGCAUUUGCAAUUCCUUCGACAGACUUUGCAAAGCAAGAACUUCGUAAUGCCAUAACACUCUCUCUUUUCCUUGUGUGGUUUCCCUGCCCUUCAGUUCUAAGGAUCUUAAGCUACCUACCAAACUUUACCUACUUGUAAAUUGUAAUUUUUCUCCUUUUAAGCAUAUAUUUUAAUGAGAGGACUUGUUACGCUUACUUCACAGCUUUAGAUCACAGUAAUGAUGGAACUUAUAUAGUUUUUGAAAAAAAAUUUCAUGUGAGGGAUGUAUGAGUUUUUGAAAUUCUUUUUUAUGUGAGGGAUGUAUUAUAAUGUUACUGCUUGCUUCUUUCAGUAGCAUGUCCUAUGUAUUCGAAAAACAGGCUUUUUUCGACA